ensembl:snoRNA
AUCCUUUUGUGGUUCAUAAGCAUAAUGAUUCGGUUUUCAUGCUCAUGUGUGAGACGCGCUGCCUCAAGCCUUGUUACAGUGUCAGCACGUCACUCAUCUGAUG